GCGGGAGUAACUCAGUUGGCAGAGUCCCUGCCUUCCAAGCAGGUUGUCGCCGGUUCGAAUCCGGUCUCCCGCUCCA
rnacentral:tRNA from 1 species